GUUCUCGCUUUGGCAGCACAUACACUAAAACUGGAAUGAUACAGAGAUUAGCAUGGCCCCUGCACAAGGAUGACAUACAAAUUCAUGAAGCAUUCCAAUUGCUG
rnacentral:snRNA from 1 species